AUUGAACGCUGGCGGCAUGCCUUACACAUGCAAGUCGAACGGCAGCACGGGAGCAAUCCUGGUGGCGAGUGGCGAACGGGUGAGUAAAGUAUCGGAACGUGCCCAGUCGUGGGGGAUAACGUAGCGAAAGUUACGCUAAUACCGCAUACGAUCUAUGGAUGAAAGCGGGGGAUCGCAAGACCUCGCGCGAUUGGAGCGGCCGAUAUCAGAUUAGGUAGUUGGUGGGGUAAAGGCUCACCAAGCCGACGAUCUGUAGCUGGUCUGAGAGGACGCCCAGCCACACUGGGACUGAGACACGGCCCAGACUCCUACGGGAGGCAGCAGUGGGGAAUUUUGGACAAUGGGCGAAAGCCUGAUCCAGCCAUGCCGCGUGCAGGAUGAAGGCCUUCGGGUUGUAAACUGCUUUUGUACGGAACGAAAAGGUUUGGCCUAAUAAGCUGAGCUCAUGACGGUACCGUAAGAAUAAGCACCGGCUAACUACGUGCCAGCAGCCGCCGCCG
rnacentral:rRNA from 1 species